GAUUAUGUCGGUAACUGAGAAUCCCAAAUUGUCAAAACUGAAACCCCAAAUUGCUCCAAUUUCCAUCUGAUCAACAAUCAUGAACAUGGAUAAGCUAAAAAUGGCUUCUUCAUCACUGGGCGAACGAUUGAAGACAGGAGGAGCACAAAUGAGCAGGAUGGUAAGUGCAAAAAUGAAAGAAAUUCUGCAAGGUCCAACUCCAGAAUCAAAAAUGGUAGAUGAAGCUACGCUAGAGACUAUGGAGGAACCUAAUUGGAGCUUGAACCUACGAAUUUGUGGGAUGAUCAACAGCGAGGAGUUCAACGGUACGGAAAUCGUAAAGGCGAUUAAGAAGAAGUUAGUUUUGUCCAAGAGUCCAGUGACACAGAGGCUGACUUUGGAUUUGCUGGAGACUUGUACAUCUAAUUGUGAGAAAGUGUUUUCAGAAGUGGCGUCUGAGAAGGUGUUGGAUGAUAUGGUUAAAAUGAUUGAUGACCCUAAAACUGACAGUGGGAAUCGGAUUAAGGCUAUGGAGCUUAUUACUGCUUGGGGAGAAUCCGAGGACCUUAGCUACUUGCCUGUCUUUCGUCAAACUUACAUGAACUUGAAGAGGCAAUAUCCCCUGGAGUCUCAUAUGAACGAGCAGCUACUCUCACCACCUGAAAGCUACCCUAUUCCUGAUACGGGGAUGCGGAAUCAUGAGCAAACUACUUAUAUUGGUGAAUCCAUUGAAGAGAAGAAGGAACUUCUUGUAGUGACACGGAACAGUCUUGAGAUCCUUUCCAGCAUAAUGAAUUCUGAUGUUGAACCAAAGCCCAUCAAGGAUGAUCUGGCUGUGAGCAUGUUGGAGAACUGCAAGCAGUCUUUGGCAGUUAUACAAAGAAUUGUGGAAUCAACUUCAGGUGAUGAGGGGUUGAUGUUUGAAGCUUUAAAUCUUCACGAUGAGCUUCGACAAGUCAUUUCUAGGUAUGAGGAGAUGGAAGCAGCUCUAGAUUCAGGAGAAGAACUGCCUAAAACACCUGAAAAUGGAAGUGGCCUGCCCAACACAGCUCCAGAGUCGGGAGAAAGACUGCCUAAAACACGCGAAAAUGAAAGUGGCCAGCCUAAUCUUGCUGAUACCAGCGAAGCCAAUUUAGAGAAGCUGUCCUUAAAUGCAAGUGAAAGUCAUGCUGUAGCACCUACAAAAGGAGAUAGCAAUCAGUCACUCCACGAGGUUGUAAAGCCGGGUAUUUCAGGAGAGGAGAAGGCUUGAUUAGAAUAGGCAAACAAGGUGGUUGUAGUGUUUCUUGUUCCUCCCUUCUAGUUUACAAGUUAAUGUUGUUCUGCAGUUUGUUUUUAGUAACGAGUACAUCUGUUUUGUGUAUAUGUAUUACUAGACAUAACUUGCAAACAUCAGCUUGUAAUAACUACUAGAUCAUGGGAUUUCAAAUUAUAAUUCCUG
rnacentral:misc_RNA from 1 species